rnacentral:rRNA from 1 species
GCAGUAGCCGCGGUAAUACGUAGGGUGCGAGCGUUAAUCGGAAUUACUGGGCGUAAAGCGUGCGCAGGCGGUUCGUUAAGACAGAUGUGAAAUCCCCGGGCUUAACCUGGGAACUGCAUUUGUGACUGGCGAGCUAGAGUAUGGCAGAGGGGGGUAGAAUUCCACGUGUAGCAGUGAAAUGCGUAGAGAUGUGGAGGAAUACCGAUGGCGAAGGCAGCCCCCUGGGCCAAUACUGACGCUCAUGCACGAAGCGUGGGGAGCAAACAGGAUUAGAGACCCGAGUAGUCCCUGUCUCUUAUACA